UACGUAGGGUGCGAGCGUUGUCCGGAUUUAUUGGGCGUAAAGAGCUCGUAGGCGGUUUGUCGCGUCGUUCGUGAAAACUCCACGCUUAACGUGGAGCGUGCGGGCGAUACGGGCAGACUUGAGUUCGGUAGGGGAGACUGGAAUUCCUGGUGUAGCGGUGAAAUGCGCAGAUAUCAGGAGGAACACCGGUGGCGAAGGCGGGUCUCUGGACAGUUCCUGACGCUGAGGCACGAAGGCCAGGGGAGCAAACGGG
rnacentral:rRNA from 1 species